UUAAGCGACUAAGCGUACACGGUGGAUGCCCUGGCAGUCAGAGGCGAUGAAGGACGUGCUAAUCUGCGAUAAGCGUCGGUAAGGUGAUAUGAACCGUUAUAACCGGCGAUUUCCGAAUGGGGAAACCCAGUGUGUUUCGACACACUAUCAUUAACUGAAUCCAUAGGUUAAUGAGGCGAACCGGGGGAACUGAAACAUCUAAGUACCCCGAGGAAAAGAAAUCAACCGAGAUUCCCCCAGUAGCGGCGAGCGAACGGGGAGCAGCCCAGAGCCUGAAUCAGUGUGUGUGUUAGUGGAAGCGUCUGGAAAGGCGCGCGAUACAGGGUGACAGCCCCGUACACAAAAAUGCACAUGCUGUGAGCUCGAUGAGUAGGGCGGGACACGUGGUAUCCUGUCUGAAUAUGGGGGGACCAUCCUCCAAGGCUAAAUACUCCUGACUGACCGAUAGUGAACCAGUACCGUGAGGGAAAGGCGAAAAGAACCCCGGCGAGGGGAGUGAAAAAGAACCUGAAACCGUGUACGUACAAGCAGUGGGAGCACGCUUAGGCGUGUGACUGCGUACCUUUUGUAUAAUGGGUCAGCGACUUAUAUUCUGUAGCAAGGUUAACCGAAUAGGGGAGCCGAAGGGAAACCGAGUCUUAACUGGGCGUUAAGUUGCAGGGUAUAGACCCGAAACCCGGUGAUCUAGCCAUGGGCAGGUUGAAGGUUGGGUAACACUAACUGGAGGACCGAACCGACUAAUGUUGAAAAAUUAGCGGAUGACUUGUGGCUGGGGGUGAAAGGCCAAUCAAACCGGGAGAUAGCUGGUUCUCCCCGAAAGCUAUUUAGGUAGCGCCUCGUGAAUUCAUCUCCGGGGGUAGAGCACUGUUUCGGCAAGGGGGUCAUCCCGACUUACCAACCCGAUGCAAACUGCGAAUACCGGAGAAUGUUAUCACGGGAGACACACGGCGGGUGCUAACGUCCGUCGUGAAGAGGGAAACAACCCAGACCGCCAGCUAAGGUCCCAAAGUCAUGGUUAAGUGGGAAACGAUGUGGGAAGGCCCAGACAGCCAGGAUGUUGGCUUAGAAGCAGCCAUCAUUUAAAGAAAGCGUAAUAGCUCACUGGUCGAGUCGGCCUGCGCGGAAGAUGUAACGGGGCUAAACCAUGCACCGAAGCUGCGGCAGCGACGCUGAUGCGUUGUUGGGUAGGGAGCGUUCUGUAAGCCUGCGAAGGUGUGCUGUGAGGCAUGCUGGAGGUAUCAGAAGUGCGAAUGCUGACAUAAGUAACGAUAAAGCGGGUGAAAAGCCCGCUCGCCGGAAGACCAAGGGUUCCUGUCCAACGUUAAUCGGGGCAGGGUGAGUCGACCCCUAAGGCGAGGCCGAAAGGCGUAGUCGAUGGGAAACAGGUUAAUAUUCCUGUACUUGGUGUUACUGCGAAGGGGGGACGGAGAAGGCUAUGUUGGCCGGGCGACGGUUGUCCCGGUUUAAGCGUGUAGGCUGGUUUUCCAGGCAAAUCCGGAAAAUCAAGGCUGAGGCGUGAUGACGAGGCACUACGGUGCUGAAGCAACAAAUGCCCUGCUUCCAGGAAAAGCCUCUAAGCAUCAGGUAACAUCAAAUCGUACCCCAAACCGACACAGGUGGUCAGGUAGAGAAUACCAAGGCGCUUGAGAGAACUCGGGUGAAGGAACUAGGCAAAAUGGUGCCGUAACUUCGGGAGAAGGCACGCUGAUAUGUAGGUGAGGUCCCUCGCGGAUGGAGCUGAAAUCAGUCGAAGAUACCAGCUGGCUGCAACUGUUUAUUAAAAACACAGCACUGUGCAAACACGAAAGUGGACGUAUACGGUGUGACGCCUGCCCGGUGCCGGAAGGUUAAUUGAUGGGGUUAGCCGCAAGGCGAAGCUCUUGAUCGAAGCCCCGGUAAACGGCGGCCGUAACUAUAACGGUCCUAAGGUAGCGAAAUUCCUUGUCGGGUAAGUUCCGACCUGCACGAAUGGCGUAAUGAUGGCCAGGCUGUCUCCACCCGAGACUCAGUGAAAUUGAACUCGCUGUGAAGAUGCAGUGUACCCGCGGCAAGACGGAAAGACCCCGUGAACCUUUACUAUAGCUUGACACUGAACAUUGAGCCUUGAUGUGUAGGAUAGGUGGGAGGCUUGGAAGUGUGGACGCCAGUCUGCAUGGAGCCGACCUUGAAAUACCACCCUUUAAUGUUUGAUGUUCUAACGUUGACCCGUAAUCCGGGUUGCGGACAGUGUCUGGUGGGUAGUUUGACUGGGGCGGUCUCCUCCUAAAGAGUAACGGAGGAGCACGAAGGUUGGCUAAUCUGGUCGGACAUCAGGAGGUUAGUGCAAUGGCAUAAGCCAGCUUGACUGCGAGCGUGACGGCGCGAGCAGGUGCGAAAGCAGGUCAUAGUGAUCCGGUGGUUCUGAAUGGAAGGGCCAUCGCUCAACGGAUAAAAGGUACUCCGGGGAUAACAGGCUGAUACCGCCCAAGAGUUCAUAUCGACGGCGGUGUUUGGCACCUCGAUGUCGGCUCAUCACAUCGGGGCUGAAGUAGGUCCCAAGGGUAUGGCUGUUCGCCAUUUAAAGUGGUACGCGAGCUGGGUUUAGAACGUCGUGAGACAGUUCGGUCCCUAUCUGCCGUGGGCGCUGGAGAACUGAGGGGGGCUGCUCCUAGUACGAGAGGACCGGAGUGGACGCAUCACUGGUGUUCGGGUUGUCAUGCCAAUGGCACUGCCCGGUAGCUAAAUGCGGAAGAGAUAAGUGCUGAAAGCAUCUAAGCACGAAACUUGCCCCGAGAUGAGUUCUCCCUGACUCCUUGAGAGUCCUGAAGGAACGUUGAAGACGACGACGUUGAUAGGCCGGGUGUGUAAGCGCAGCGAUGCGUUGAGCUAACCGGUACUAAUGAACCGUGAGGCUUAACCU
rnacentral:rRNA from 1 species